GUCGAGAAUCUUUCACAAUGGGGGCAACCCUGAUGGAGCGACGCCGCGUGGAGGAUAAGGUCUUCGGAUUGUAAACUCCUGUCAUGCGUGAACAAGGUUGCUUGGUUAAUACCUGGGCAAAUUGAUGGUAACGCAAGAGGAAGAGACGGCUAACUCUGUGCCAGCAGCCGCGGUAAUACAGAGGUCUCAAGCGUUGUUCGGAAUCACUGGGCGUAAAGGGUGCGUAGGUGGCGUGGUAAGUCAGAUGUGAAAGCCCGGGGCUCAACCUCGGAACUGCAUCCGAUACUGCCAUGCUAGAGUACUGGAGAGGUGACUAGAAUUCUCGGUGUAGCAGUGAAAUGCGUAGAUAUCGAGAGGAAUACCAAAGGCGUAGGCAGGUCACUGGACAGUUACUGACACUGAGGCACGGAGGCCAGGGGAGCGAACGGGAUUAGAUACCCGGGUAGUCC
rnacentral:rRNA from 1 species